CCCACUUCUCACUUCCCACAUUUUACAUACCACUUCCCACAUCCAACAUCUUGUGGGAAAUGGGAGAGAUGUGAGAAGUGGGAUAUAAAAGGUGGGAAGCGUGAUAAGAAAAGUGUAAUGUACAAUGUGAGAUGUGAAGUGUGAAAAGUGAAAUGUGAGAAGUGGGAUGUGAAAUGUGGGAAGUGAGAUGUGGAAUUGAAAUAUGGGAAGUGGGAUGUGGUAUGUGAAAUAUGGGAAGUGGGACAUGAAAUAUGGGAAGUAAGAAGUGAGAUGUGAAAUAUGGGAAGUGGGAUAUGAAAUAUGGGAAGUGAGAAGUGAGAUGUGAAAUAUGGGAAGUGGGAUGUGGUAUGUGAAAUAUGGGAAGUGGGAAGUGGAUAUGAAAUAUAGGAAGUAAGAAGUGAGAUGUGAAAUAUGGGAAGUGGGAUGUGGUAUGUGAAAUAUGGGAAAUGGGAAGUGGAUAUGAAAUAUGGGAAGUAAGAAGUGAGAUGUGAAAUAUGGGAAGUUGGAUAUGAAAUAUGGGAAGUAAGAAGUGAGAUGUGAAAUAUGGGAAGUGGGAUGUGGUAUGUGAAAUAUGGGAAAUGGGAAGUGGAUAUGAAAUAUGGGAAGUAAGAAGUGAGAUGUGAAAUAUGGGAAGUUGGAUAUGAAAUAUGGGAAGUAAGAAGUGAGAUGUGAAAUAUGGGAAGUUGGAUAUGAAAUAUGGGAAGUAAGAAGUGAGAUGUGAAAUAUGGGAAGUGGGAUAUGAAAUAUGGGAAGUGAGAUGUGGGAAAUGGGAUGUGGGAAUUGAGAAGUGGAAUGUAAAAUGUAGGAAGUGAGAUGUGGGAUGUAAAAUGUGGGAAGUGAGAUGUGGGAUGUGGUAAAGUUACGUAAUCGACCCCCAGGUGUUACCAAUUAAUAAACAUUUGAAUUAGUGUUAACUAAAAUUUAACUCAUAAAAUUUUCAAUAAAACAAUGCGUCAACAGGCGAAAAGUAGGACUGAUCCACCACUAGAUUUUGUUACUUUUUUGGUUCCAGUCGUGGAUCACCCGAAAACAAUGGACACGCGCUACUUACAGACGUAAAUAUUGUUCUCAGGGCUCUAUGGGGAUGAAACGAAAUGCCUCCUAUUGUGAAAAGAAUUAAAAAUUGUCCUAAAAUGGCUCCAAAGCUUUCUAUUCCAAAAUAUACUCUUAACUUACAUGUUAAGGAAAACUCUUGUUUUCUGUCACCACUUUAGUAAUUGUUGUCCUGCUUUCUUCGCGAUGAAUUUAAAAUUUUUUUUAAAUUGUAAUAUUGAUCUGUAUAACUUUCUUAACAAUUACCGACACUUGCGGUUCAUUUAUUUACAAACGUGUAAACACAAAUGACCAUUAUUCUCGCAGUUGAUCCACCACUGGUGCAUGAUCCACCACUGGUGCAGUUACCCUAUCUUUGGCAGAAUAUGU